rnacentral:rRNA from 1 species
UACAGAGGUCUCAAGCGUUGUUCGGAUUCAUUGGGCGUAAAGGGUGCGUAGGCGGCGCGGUAAGUCGGGUGUGAAAUCUCGGAGCUUAACUCCGAAACUGCAUUCGAUACUGCCGUGCUUGAGGACUGGAGAGGAGACUGGAAUUUACGGUGUAGCGGUGAAAUGCGUAGAUAUCGUAAGGAAGACCAGUGGCGAAGGCGGGUCUCGUGGACAGUUCCUGACGCUGAGGCACGAAGGCCGGGGAGCAAACGGG